rnacentral:snoRNA from 1 species
UUGCACGAGGCAAACCCCGAUCUUCUCCUAGAUGUUUUCAUGAAGAUGCAAGCCUCAAUGCCCGUGCAAUAUAAAUCACCUGUUGAGUGUUGCAGGUUGGUCGAUCUGUCAGUCUAUGCUUGUGUCAAAGCAACAGCAACAUCU